GGGGGCGAACGGGUUCGACAGAGCUGGUUCGACUUAGAGUUGCGAGCCGAGGUGCCGUUGGCCUCGAAAAUAAACGGCAAAACAAUAGUUGCCAAUAACAACUACGCAUACGCUGCUUAAUUAACGCAGUGAGUCGCCUGAUUCCGGGCCGAUAGGGAUCAUCGCGGCUUAGCCAAAUUCGGAUCGCGAAGCGAGCUUCUGUUCGUAGCAAGCUAAGCUAAAUUCAACCGGACUGGAUCCGAAUCAGCCUGUCUCUGGGAGUGGUUCGGAUCGAGAAAAGCUCAGAGAAGACGCUCGUGGGAACUGUAAGGCCGACAGGUUUGGAAGAGAGUUCAAUUCUCUCCGCCUCCACCA
rnacentral:tmRNA from 1 species